rnacentral:rRNA from 2 species
GCGGAGGAAAAGAAACCAACAGGGAUUGCCUCAGUAACGGCGAGUGAAGCGGCAAAAGCUCAAAUUUGAAAUCCCCCGGGAAUUGUAAUUUGAAGAGAUUUGGGUCCGGCCGGCGGGGGUUAAGUCCACUGGAAAGUGGCGCCACAGAGGGUGACAGCCCCGUGAACCCCUUUAACGCCCUCAUCCCAGAUCUCCAAGAGUCGAGUUGUUUGGGAAUGCAGCUCUAAGUGGGUGGUAAAUUCCAUCUAAAGCUAAAUACCGGCGAGAGACCGAUAGCGAACAAGUACAGUGAUGGAAAGAUGAAAAGCACUUUGAAAAGAGAGUGAAAAAGUACGUGAAAUUGUUGAAAGGGAAGGGCUUGCAAGCAGACACUUAACUGGGCCAGCAUCGGGGCGGCGGGAAACAAAACCACCGGGGAAUGUACCUUUCGAGGAUUAUAACCCCGGUCUCUAUUUCCUUACUGCCCCGAGGCCUGCAAUCUAAGGAUGCUGGCGUAAUGGUUGCAAGUCGCCCGUCUUG